rnacentral:rRNA from 1 species
GAUGAACGCUGGCGGCGUGCCUAAUACAUGCAAGUCGAGCGGACAGACGAGGAGCUUGCUCCUCUGACGUUAGCGGCGGACGGGUGAGUAACACGUGGAUAACCUACCUAUAAGACUGGGAUAACUUCGUGAAACCGGAGCUAAUACCGGAUAAUAUAUUGAACCGCAUGGUUCAAUAGUGAAAGACGGUUUUGCUGUCACUUAUAGAUGGAUCCGCGCCGCAUUAGCUAGUUGGUAAGGUAACGGCUUACCAAGGCAACGAUGCGUAGCCGACCUGAGAGGGUGAUCGGCCACACUGGAACUGAGACACGGUCCAGACUCCUACGGGAGGCAGCAGUAGGGAAUCUUCCGCAAUGGGCGAAAGCUUGACGGAGCAACGCCGCGUGAGUGAUGAAGGUCUUCGGAUCGUAAAACUCUGUUAUUAGGGAAGAACAAAUGUGUAAGUAACUAUGCACGUCUUGACGGUACCUAAUCAGAAAGCCACGGCUAACUACGUG